AAAUUUCUUCGGGGUCGGGUGAAAUUCCCAAUCGGCGGUGUUGAAGCAUAGUACUUCUUAGUCCGUGACCCGUGCGGUUAUUCAUGUAACCAAACGGUGGAUCUGGUGUGAUUCCAGAGCCGACAGUUAUAGUCUGGAUGGGAGAAGAAAUUU
rnacentral:ncRNA from 2 species